AGGAUGAACGCUAGCGGCAGGCCUAAUACAUGCAAGUCGAGGGGGAUUGGGGAGCUUGCUCCCCAUGAGACCGGCGCACGGGUGCGUAACGCGUAUGCAACCUGCCUUGAUCAGGGGGAUAGCCCGGAGAAAUCCGGAUUAACACCGCAAUAAAACCACAGCACAGCAUUGUGCAAUGG
rnacentral:rRNA from 1 species